AACGCACGAGACCUGCGGACCUGCGGAGGGAUCAUUAACAAAUUGUCCACGAUACUGGAUAAUUUUUAUCCAUAUCCACCUUGUGUGAACCAUUGACGUGUUUGUUGGCAGGUUUACGCAAUCUCUCCUUGCAAAAGGGAAGCUUGUGAGCUGGACGUUGUCUGUGCUCGGCCUGCCAAUUUUAUUCUUUAAAACGUGUCUAUUUAAAUUACUUGUCUGAAAUUCUAUAUAUUAUAAUAA
rnacentral:misc_RNA from 1 species